UCCCUCUCAGGGUCACAUCUGGAGAGUUUCCAGUACUCUACCAUCUUGACUAUGGGAGGGAGAGUCAAGCAGAGGCCUCUCCAUUCCUAGCUUGUCCAGUGGCUAGCGAGUGGAAGGCAAUCUGCUACAAGU